AGCGUACACGGUGGAUGCCCUGGCAGUCAGAGGCGAUGAAGGACGUGCUAAUCUGCGAUAAGCGUCGGUAAGGUGAUAUGAACCGUUAUAACCGGCGAUUUCCGAAUGGGGAAACCCAGUGUGAUUCGUCACACUAUCAUUAACUGAAUCCAUAGGUUAAUGAGGCGAACCGGGGGAACUGAAACAUCUAAGUACCCCGAGGAAAAGAAAUCAACCGAGAUUCCCCCAGUAGCGGCGAGCGAACGGGGAGGAGCCCAGAGCCUGAAUCAGUGUGUGUGUUAGUGGAAGCGUCUGGAAAGGCGCGCGAUACAGGGUGACAGCCCCGUACACAAAAAUGCACAUGCUGUGAGCUCGAUGAGUAGGGCGGGACACGUGGUAUCCUGUCUGAAUAUGGGGGGACCAUCCUCCAAGGCUAAAUACUCCUGACUGACCGAUAGUGAACCAGUACCGUGAGGGAAAGGCGAAAAGAACCCCGGCGAGGGGAGUGAAAAAGAACCUGAAACCGUGUACGUACAAGCAGUGGGAGCCUCUUUAUGGGGUGACUGCGUACCUUUUGUAUAAUGGGUCAGCGACUUAUAUUCUGUAGCAAGGUUAACCGAAUAGGGGAGCCGAAGGGAAACCGAGUCUUAACUGGGCGUUAAGUUGCAGGGUAUAGACCCGAAACCCGGUGAUCUAGCCAUGGGCAGGUUGAAGGUUGGGUAACACUAACUGGAGGACCGAACCGACUAAUGUUGAAAAAUUAGCGGAUGACUUGUGGCUGGGGGUGAAAGGCCAAUCAAACCGGGAGAUAGCUGGUUCUCCCCGAAAGCUAUUUAGGUAGCGCCUCGUGAAUUCAUCUCCGGGGGUAGAGCACUGUUUCGGCAAGGGGGUCAUCCCGACUUACCAACCCGAUGCAAACUGCGAAUACCGGAGAAUGUUAUCACGGGAGACACACGGCGGGUGCUAACGUCCGUCGUGAAGAGGGAAACAACCCAGACCGCCAGCUAAGGUCCCAAAGUCAUGGUUAAGUGGGAAACGAUGUGGGAAGGCCCAGACAGCCAGGAUGUUGGCUUAGAAGCAGCCAUCAUUUAAAGAAAGCGUAAUAGCUCACUGGUCGAGUCGGCCUGCGCGGAAGAUGUAACGGGGCUAAACCAUGCACCGAAGCUGCGGCAGCGACGCUUAUGCGUUGUUGGGUAGGGGAGCGUUCUGUAAGCCUGCGAAGGUGUACUGUGAGGUAUGCUGGAGGUAUCAGAAGUGCGAAUGCUGACAUAAGUAACGAUAAAGCGGGUGAAAAGCCCGCUCGCCGGAAGACCAAGGGUUCCUGUCCAACGUUAAUCGGGGCAGGGUGAGUCGACCCCUAAGGCGAGGCCGAAAGGCGUAGUCGAUGGGAAACAGGUUAAUAUUCCUGUACUUGGUGUUACUGCGAAGGGGGGACGGAGAAGGCUAUGUUGGCCGGGCGACGGUUGUCCCGGUUUAAGCGUGUAGGCUGGUUUUCCAGGCAAAUCCGGAAAAUCAAGGCUGAGGCGUGAUGACGAGGCACUACGGUGCUGAAGCAACAAAUGCCCUGCUUCCAGGAAAAGCCUCUAAGCAUCAGGUAACAUCAAAUCGUACCCCAAACCGACACAGGUGGUCAGGUAGAGAAUACCAAGGCGCUUGAGAGAACUCGGGUGAAGGAACUAGGCAAAAUGGUGCCGUAACUUCGGGAGAAGGCACGCUGAUAUGUAGGUGAAGCGACUUGCUCGUGGAGCUGAAAUCAGUCGAAGAUACCAGCUGGCUGCAACUGUUUAUUAAAAACACAGCACUGUGCAAACACGAAAGUGGACGUAUACGGUGUGACGCCUGCCCGGUGCCGGAAGGUUAAUUGAUGGGGUUAGCGGUAACGCGAAGCUCUUGAUCGAAGCCCCGGUAAACGGCGGCCGUAACUAUAACGGUCCUAAGGUAGCGAAAUUCCUUGUCGGGUAAGUUCCGACCUGCACGAAUGGCGUAAUGAUGGCCAGGCUGUCUCCACCCGAGACUCAGUGAAAUUGAACUCGCUGUGAAGAUGCAGUGUACCCGCGGCAAGACGGAAAGACCCCGUGAACCUUUACUAUAGCUUGACACUGAACAUUGAGCCUUGAUGUGUAGGAUAGGUGGGAGGCUUUGAAGUGUGGACGCCAGUCUGCAUGGAGCCGACCUUGAAAUACCACCCUUUAAUGUUUGAUGUUCUAACGUUGGCCCCUAAUCGGGGUUGCGGACAGUGUCUGGUGGGUAGUUUGACUGGGGCGGUCUCCUCCUAAAGAGUAACGGAGGAGCACGAAGGUUGGCUAAUCCUGGUCGGACAUCAGGAGGUUAGUGCAAUGGCAUAAGCCAGCUUGACUGCGAGCGUGACGGCGCGAGCAGGUGCGAAAGCAGGUCAUAGUGAUCCGGUGGUUCUGAAUGGAAGGGCCAUCGCUCAACGGAUAAAAGGUACUCCGGGGAUAACAGGCUGAUACCGCCCAAGAGUUCAUAUCGACGGCGGUGUUUGGCACCUCGAUGUCGGCUCAUCACAUCCUGGGGCUGAAGUAGGUCCCAAGGGUAUGGCUGUUCGCCAUUUAAAGUGGUACGCGAGCUGGGUUUAGAACGUCGUGAGACAGUUCGGUCCCUAUCUGCCGUGGGCGCUGGAGAACUGAGGGGGGCUGCUCCUAGUACGAGAGGACCGGAGUGGACGCAUCACUGGUGUUCGGGUUGUCAUGCCAAUGGCACUGCCCGGUAGCUAAAUGCGGAAGAGAUAAGUGCUGAAAGCAUCUAAGCACGAAACUUGCCCCGAGAUGAGUUCUCCCUGACUCCUUGA
rnacentral:rRNA from 1 species